rfam:Triticum aestivum genome assembly, contig: Triticum_aestivum_CS42_TGACv1_scaffold_373966_5AL
GCAAAAAAAGUGGUGGAAUGCCCUCGAAACCAAUUCACUUGAGUGAGACAUAGGAGAGUGGAAUUUCAUGUGUAGGGGUGAAAUCCAUAGAUCUAUGAAGGAACGUUAAAAGCGUAGGCAGCUCUCUGGGUCCCUACCAACGCCGGGGUGCGAAAACAUAGGGAGCGAACAUGAUUAGAUACCCUGGUAGUCCAUGCCAUAAACGACGAUUAUUCGCCCUUGGUCUACGCGGAACAGGGGGCCAGCUAACGCAUGAAACAC